GGCACAGCACUCUUUUAACCCUCCUAGCGUGGAAAUCAACUAUCUACUGGACUUGGAAUGAAAGGAACUCCAGGCUUCACCAAAACAGCUUCCGAUCGGUCGACUCUCUGUUUGUGGCGCUUGAUAGACAACUUAGGAACAGAAUCCAGAGUUUCAGAGAAACAAAUCCAACCCUCUCUUCUGCGAUGAUUCAACUCUGGUUUCAAUCCCCAUAGCCAACCUCUCCUGCUGUUGCAACUGCAUAUCGGCACUCAUCGCUUCCGUCGCAGUCAACGCUUUGAUCGUUUUCUCACAAAACUAAAUUAUGGGUUCACUUGGGUUUUUACUAUGAGUUUUUAAGAUUGGGCAGGGCCCUGUAACUUUAAGCCCAUGGCUUGUAAACAUUUUAUUUCUUAGUUUUAUAAAUGAAAGCCCCAGUUACAAAAAAAAGAAAACAUAUCACUUUUCAAUAAUUAGAAUUCAUAGGAAAAAAACACAACAUUUCGUAUUAAUUGAGAUUCCAACUAUAUUUUUAUGAUAAAAAUGCACAUCUAAAUAUAUUUCUAUAAAAAAUUUAAUAGUUUUAUGGUUGAAAAGACACAACCUUUCAACAUUAUAUAAAAUUUAUUUGAAAAGACACAAUCUUUUAACCUUAAAUUAGAUUCAAUAUGUAUCGACGACGUGUAUAUGCAAUAUACGAAACAAUUUAAUAGAUACUAGGGAUUAACCCGGGCUACGCCCGGGAUUUUUUUUUCUUUAAUUUAAGUUGUUAAAUUAUUUAUAUUUAGGUUAUGAUAUAUAUUUAUAUAAAUGUUAAGAUGCAUGUCAUAAUUAAAAUUUAUUUUUAAAUUAUAACACAUUAAAUUAACAUAUUUUUUACUAUUUAAAUAUUUUUUUUGAAUUUUGUUGGCUAUCUAGUUAUCAUAUUUAUCAAAACUAUCUGUUGAGUGUUGGAAUAAAUGUUUUAGAAAUUUAAUCAAACUGCAGAGUAUUUUCGGAUCGACCACAUGCUCAACAAUCGAUCGAUCCGUAAAAAGAUGGUCGAUCUACUUAGCCAAGUAAGUACAAAUUUAGCAAAAAUAUCUUUGAUUUUUAAAUAUUACUAUUCUUUUGAAUAUUGUUUUUUUUGAAUUGUAUUUUCUGAUUAAAUCAUUGUAUUAUAAUGUUUAUGUAAAUAUUUUUUUGUGAUGUUUGAAUUUGUGUUAUUCGUAUACUUAACCUAAGUGAUAUUGAUGUUUAACAAUUUAUUGUUUUCUCGAAAUAGAAAAUAAUGCUAUAUCAAAACGUAUGUAAUACUUAUUAAAUGAUAGUAUAAUGUAAAUUAUAUCUACAUUAAACAUAUGUAAGAUUACCAUUUUACAUUUAAAAUAACAAUAAUAUGUAAACAUACAACAUAAAAAAUGGAAAAUUUACAUUAAACAUAUGUAAGAUUACCAUUGUUCACUAAAAAGACUGUCAGUAAAUACAGUACAGGAGAUGUCUACACUUACCUUCGUGGAGAGAUAGCUGAUGUCAAUUGGUCGAAGUCAAUCUGGUCUUCUUAUGAAAUUCCCAGACAUUCUUUCCUCGCUUGGCUUGUAAUCAAUAACAGAUGCCCCACUCGUGAUAGGCUUAUCGGCUGGGGAAUUCAGGUUUCACCUCUCUGUCUCCUAUGCAAUCUUCACUCAGAAUCUCGAAACCAUCUGUUCUAUGAAUGUGGUUGUUCUAUGAAUGUGGUUACAGUUUUGAUCUCUGGAACCUCGUUGCAGCUAAGUGUGGCUUAACGCCUUGUCGUGAUUGGGAUGGCACGGUUUUUCAGAUGAUUGCACUUCCUCGAUCAAAAUCCCGCCGGCACAGCACUCUUUUAACCCUCCUAGCGUGGAAAUCAACUAUCUACUGGACUUGGAAUGAAAGGAACUCCAGGCUUCACCAAAACAGCUUCCGAUCGGUCGACUCUCUGUUUGUGGCGCUUGAUAGACAACUUAGGAACAGAAUCCAGAGUUUCAGAGAAACAAAUCCAACCCUCUCUUCUGCGAUGAUUCAACUCUGGUUUCAAUCCCCAUAGCCAACCUCUCCUGCUGUUGCAACUGCAUAUCGGCACUCAUCGCUUCCGUCGCAGUCAACGCUUUGAUCGUUUUCUCACAAAACUAAAUUAUGGGUUCACUUGGGUUUUUACUAUGAGUUUUUAAGAUUGGGCAGGGCCCUGUAACUUUAAGCCCAUGGCUUGUAAACAUUUUAUUUCUUAGUUUUAUAAAUGAAAGCCCCA
rnacentral:lncRNA from 1 species